UGCAGUUGAGCGCUGAAGGUUGGUACUUGUACCGACUGGGAUGAGCAGCGAACGGGUGAGUAACGCGUGGGGAAUCUGCCUUUGAGCGGGGGACAACAUUUGGAAACGAAUGCUAAUACCGCAUAAAAACUUUAAACACAAGUUUUAAGUUUGAAAGAUGCAAUUGCAUCACUCAAAGAUGAUCCCGCGUUGUAUUAGCUAGUUGGUGAGGUAAAGGCUCACCAAGGCGAUGAUACAUAGCCGACCUGAGAGGGUGAUCGGCCACAUUGGGACUGAGACACGGCCCAAACUCCUACGGGAGGCAGCAGUAGGGAAUCUUCGGCAAUGGACGAAAGUCUGACCGAGCAACGCCGCGUGAGUGAAGAAGGUUUUCGGAUCGUAAAACUCUGUUGGUAGAGAAGAACGUUGGUGAGAGUGGAAAGCUCAUCAAGUGACGGUAACUACCCAGAAAGGGACGGCUAACUACGUGCCAGCAGCCGCGGUAAUACGUAGGUCCCGAGCGUUGUCCGGAUUUAUUGGGCGUAAAGCGAGCGCAGGUGGUUUAUUAAGUCUGGUGUAAAAGGCAGUGGCUCAACCAUUGUAUGCAUUGGAAACUGGUAGACUUGAGUGCAGGAGAGGAGAGUGGAAUUCCAUGUGUAGCGGUGAAAUGCGUAGAUAUAUGGAGGAACACCGGUGGCGAAAGCGGCUCUCUGGCCUGUAACUGACACUGAGGCUCGAAAGCGUGGGGAGCAAACAGGAUUAGAUACCCUGGUAGUCCACGCCGUAAACGAUGAGUGCUANAUGUAGGGAGCUAUAANUUCUCUGUAUCGCANCUAACGCAAUAAGCACUCCGCCUGGGGAGUACNACCGCAAGGUU
rnacentral:rRNA from 1 species